ACGGUCGCGUAACACGUAAGCAACCUGCCCUAAAGUUGGGGAUAGCCCGCCGAAAGGCGGAUUAAUACCGAAUGUGGAUAUGUAUUCGCAUGUAUAUAUAUCUGAAGCAGCGAUGCGCUUUAGGAUGGGCUUGCGGCCUAUCAGUUAGUUGGUGUGGGUAACGGCCUACCAAGACGACGACGGGUAGCUGGACUGAGAGGAUGGUCAGCCGGAUUGGGACUGAGACACGGCCCAGACUCCUACGGGGGGCAGCAAUUAGGAAUCUUGCGCAAUGGGCGAAAGCCUGACGCAACGACGCCGCGUGACUGAUGAAGUCUUUCGAGAUGUAAAGGUCUUUUGUGGGGGACGAAGGAAGUGACGGUACCCCACGAAUAAGCCCCGGCUAACUACGUGCCAGCAGCCGCGGUAAUACGUAGGGGGCGAGCGUUGUCCGAAUUCACUGGGCGUAAAGCGCGCGUAGGCGGGUUUUUAAGUUGUGGGUGAAAUUCCGAGGCUCAACCUCGGAACUGCCUGCAAAACUGGGAGCCUUGAGGUAUGGAGAGGGAAGUGGAAUUCCUGGUGUAGCGGUGAAAUGCGUAGAUAUCAGGAGGAACACCCGUGGCGAAGGCGGCUUCCUGGCCAUAUCCUGACGCUGAGGUGCGAAAGCCAGGGUAGCGAACGGGAUUAGAUACCCCGGUAGUCCUGGCCAUAAACGAUGGAUACUAGGUGUUAGAGGUAUCGACCCCUCUAGUGCCGCAGCUAACGCAUUAAGUAUCCCGCCUGGGGAGUACGACCGCAAGGUUGAAACUCAAAGGAAUUGACGGGGGCCCGCACAAGCGGUGGAGCAUGUGGUUUAAUACGUCACUAACCGUAGAACCUUACCCAGGCUUGACAUCUAGGGAAUCCUGAUGAAAGUCGGGA
rnacentral:rRNA from 1 species